ACCUCUACCUCCCGGCAGAGAAGGCCGCAGAGGCUGGCUUUCCAAAAACUGCCCCCUCCGCUGCUGCCAAGUGGCUGGU
rnacentral:pre_miRNA from 1 species